rnacentral:rRNA from 1 species
ACGGAGGGUGCAAGCGUUAUUCGGAGUGACUGGGCGUAAAGCGCGUGUAGGCGGCUUGUUAAGUCUGGUGUGAAAUCCCUGGACUCAAUCCAGGAAGUGCAUUGGAUACUGGCAAGCUAGAGUAUGGGAGAGGAGAGCGGAAUUCCUGGUGUAGAGGUGAAAUUCGUAGAUAUCAGGAGGAACAACAGAGGCGAAGGCGGCUCUCUGGACAUGUAUUGACGCUGAGGUACGAAAGCGUGGGGAGCAAACAGGA